rnacentral:lncRNA from 1 species
GCCAAACUCUCUCUGGUAGGAGCAGUCCUGAUACCCACUGGUGAGUGCCAGGGAAGGAUGGGAGCCCCUCUCAGCACCCCGAUACAUUUACUAAGAACAGGCUUGUUUUAUGGGAGUAAAAAUGCUCUGACUGCAGUGUCUGCCCUUGCAGGUUUCCAGAGACAGAAAAAUGUUUCAGAAGGAUUUUCUUCCUCCCAAAACAACAGGACAGCAGAGCUUGACAGCCCCCAAACAUGCAGAGAUGGUGCCCAUGGCCGGUCUGUUCGUGCAGCCACUUUCACUGGCAGAGUCUUUGACAACACAGGUGGCAAGGAGGUGGGGAAAAAAGCUUCUUUGCAAGGGUCAUAUUGAUUUUUUAAUAGAAAAGAAACAGGUAAGGCACCCAAAACAACACAUUUGCAAAAUGCACAACUGAGUUCUUGCUUUGAGGCAAAUGCUGGAAUAAGGUCUAUUGCACUAAGCUGUUUCUCAAAGGGGAGAAAAAUUUCUCCUGUAGGAAAAGCUGUAGGGUGGGUGGCUCAUAGGACUCCCAGAAAUGCUGGCAGUAAAUGAGGCUUCAUGCUGCUCCUUUUGAAAUGUGUCAGUGAAAGAGAGUCCCCCACGUGCUGCAGCACAAGUGGGCAAUGGUUAAAUGGUUAAAUGCUUCUUGUUCAUCCUGAGGUACCUAAAGGCCUGAGGAGACCAGGAGCAGGAUGUAUCCUGCCCAGCUGCCCUCGGUCUUUUCUCUCAGGCAGAGUUUGGUCCUUUUAAUCCAGGCCCCCAUCAGAGCCCAGCACCAACAUGCUGUUCUGUGUACACCACCAUGAAAUGUCAUUUGGAACAGCUUUAUUUGGUUAAAAUUUCCAGAGUGCAGAGACGUGAGGAAGAACUUUGAAACUGGGGGCACAAAAAUAGAACUUUGAUCUGAAGCAUACCUUUUGUUUACCUUUUUUGUUUCAUUUUUAAAAAAUCAGAAAAUAAUGUCAAAAUUCUCCAUGAAGGUAAGUGAUGUUACAUUGGCAGAGUUGCAUCAAAGUGACACGUGUCAAAUUUCAGUAAGAUGGUUACCAUAGAAAAAUUAAGCAAGGAGCAUGACAUCUUCUGCAGAGAACAAUGGCAACAAAAAAUUUAAAAAAAAUAAAACCAACAAUUGUGUCAUUCUGCCUACGGCAACCUUGCAAAAUUUUAUUUACCCAACCUGUUUUGAUAGGCAGGCAAAAUAUAAUAAUUUAAAGGAAGAAGGAGAAAAAGGGAAGGGGUCCAUUAUCAUCACCUUGGAAAAGGAUGAGGGAAUAGAUUUUGUGCCUGAGCUGGUAAAUUCGUUGUACAUCUUCACAUGGCUGGAAUAAUAUUAUAAAGUGACUUAAAUAUAAAUGCCAUUUAAGAACUGCUCCAUAGUGAAUAGUUAAAAUGCUUCCUCAACAGAGCCUGCUUUUGCUGCUAAUUUGCUGAAGUAGAUCUGCUGUCUUCACUUCUCCGUGGCUCUCGAUAUAGCUCAAGGCUUGCUGGGGGCUCACCCGUCGUGUUCUGGCUCAUAACAAGUAAAGAGGGAGCUCGAGUGUCACCUACAAGACACUGAAAUAGGUCUGAAGGGUUGCAGGAAACCAUCAGGUCUUUAGAACGGGCGAGCUGGAAAAAGAUCUUGCCAAGGAAAACCUUGCAUGAAGUCAGCUAGCAUGUUCCCCCAGAGCAGCCAUGGGAGCACUGUGAGCAGGGGGAGCAGAGCUGCUCGAGGGCAGGGCGACCCAGAGCACUGGGGACAAAGCCCUCUGGCAGGCCACAUCAUGCUUGAUAGGCUUUUACUGUUAAACAGUUGCAAAUUGCCAUUAAUGCUCCAAUAGAACACAGAUACACAAGACUUUUCCCUUCUGUCAUGAGGCAUUAGGUCAAAAGACUGGAUAAUAACAGCAAUAUUAGUCCCACCAGAGAGCUGGGCUGACACAGGCUGCAUGGACACGUGGGCACAUUUUGGCACUUCAGGUAGUGCCAUGAUCUAACUUUCUGUCUCUCUCAUGUCACACAACACAGGGCAUUGAGCAGGCCCUGGGCUCUAGGAAGCAGCUCUGAAAAUGUGCUUAGCCUUUCAUGAUCUUUUCACCUGGCCUCUUAUGGCACAGUAGAUAAAGGAAGCUGCAACAUAAGAAAAUGGCUGGGUGGGUAUUAAAUCCCCAAACUGUUUAACACCCCCUUCCUAUACUGAUUCUCCACUAAAAACCACCAGGCUGCAAUGCAGAUGAUAAAGCUCCAUCUGACAACAAAAUCCUGACUUCACACUACCAGUCACAUCGAUCAGCAUCUGAACUAAUGUCAGAGUCUUCUCUUACUAAUGAGCUGCUGUGCUGAGGUGCAGCUUUGCUAUCAGUCAGAUACCUGUAAUGAGGUAGAAUGAAUGGCAAGACCCCUCUUCAGACGCUUUCUCUCAUCUAGCCACAGAGGGGCUUCAUUGUUCACUUAUUUUUGGUACAGACAAAGAGUUUCUUCCUGAAGGUCUCUACCAGCAUCACACAGUUACUCUAGCACCUAUUUUAUAUGUUAGCUGCAGCUGUUUGGAAAAUUUCUACCAGGAAUUAAAUUUUUUCCCCCCUUCUAAUCAUUUGUAGUCCCAGUGCUCCCAUAUAAGCACUGUGGUCCCAGUGCUUGCAUACAAUGAAAUGUACACUUCAAAAUCAAAUGAAAGUACCUUGCCAUGUUCCCAAGUUGGACAUGUUCAUAUAGCACUCUGCUUAUCUACCUACAAUGCACAUUUGUCCAGCUGUUUAUGCUUUGACUUUAAGCCAUAGCUACCAUGCAGUGGUGUAUCCUAUUUACCCAUCCCUUAAUACCACAGGAGGGAUGUGCUCCAAAUCCAUAGCUUUCCAUUAAUAGAACAAAGCCAUAGCAAUGAUUUUUUUUAAAUUUUCUUUGCCUGUCAUGGUACUGCUGAAUGGUCUGAACGGAAGUUACUGUCAGACCCAGAGGUUCUGCCCAAAUCUGAUCUAAGGCAGUUUGCUAGGAAUGUAAUUAACAGAUGCAUUGAUUGAAGAAGCACCCUAAAACUGUAAUAGAGGGAUACUCAAUGAACAGCAAGGAAAGCCCCAGCAUUUGUUACAAUCACUCUCUUUAGGUAUUAAAUUAAGUGCAGGGUGUUUUUCUGUUCUGGGGUUUAGUCUCAGCACAGACCAGGUAGCUAUUAUUUGUUACUCCUAUGAAAACAGUCAUUACAGAAAGGCUGGGCUUGGGUUUGUGCUGCAAACUGAGGUUGUGACUUGUAUCUUUCUCAUCUUCCCAAAUAUUUCAGUCGGGUUUUGUUUUUCUUUGUCUUAAACCAACAUCUUAUGUUUCUCAGUGGCAGGUCUCAGCAUGCAAUUAUUUAUGCACGUCUCAUUCCAUGCCACAUAAAAAGGGUUAUCGAGUUUUUAUCUUUAAGACUAAUGAGCUGUUGGUUAACACUUUUGAGACAAUUAACCAGAGAUAUCACUUCUUAUCCACUGACAGAGACAUUGUUGCACUCAAAUUUCUCCAGAGGGCAGGACGCCGGUCUGGAGUUGAGCACCUGCUUGGGGCUUGCAGGCGACGGGCAAUGAGAAGCCACGAGUGACCCCUGCACCGGAGCCCUGUGUGAUGGUUUAUGUGCUCUCUGACAUCAGCUGAUGACAGUUAGGGGCAGAUAGGUUGGUGGCACUCAGCAGAAGUGUUUGCAUUUGUUCUGCCACACAUGCAGCCCCUCUCAGACCAGCUAUCAGAGCAUGGCAGCUUUUCACACCGCCAAGCACCUCUCCUGCUGCCUGCAAGGGACCCAGCCAGGACUUCUCAGCACCCUGUCAGUGUCCGGAUGCUGCAUCGGUCCCUCAGGGCCAGUGGCAUCUGGCUCAGGCUAAAGCCACCCUUCAGGCUCCUCUGACUGCUGCCAAGGGACUAAAGCAGCCAAGAUCAAGGCAGAGCAAAUCACCUUCAACAAUGGUUUUAACCAUUAUCUUCAACUAAAGAUACACAAGAAAAUUGGUGAGGGUGUGAAGAAGUCUCCCAGGGUGUGUCUGCUGUGAAGAUGCAGAGACUUCUAUUUUCAUGCUCAAGCAGCUACAGGGAAGUAACCUGUAAUGUAUACAGAGUUUUCUUCUGCCUUUAAAACACGCGCCUUCAAAGUAUAUAUUUCAUUUCCUGAACAACUGAGAUUUCUUGUGACAUCAUAA